rnacentral:rRNA from 1 species
ACGAACGCUGGCGGCGUGCCUAAUACAUGCAAGUAGCACGCUGAAGGAGGAGCUUGCUUCUCUGGAUGAGUUGCGAACGGGUGAGUAACGCGUAGGUAACCUGCCUGGUAGCGGGGGAUAACUAUUGGAAACGAUAGCUAAUACCGCAUAAGAGUAGAUGUUGCAUGACAUUUGCUUAAAAGGUGCAAUUGCAUCACUACCAGAUGGACCUGCGUUGUAUUAGCUAGUUGGUGGGGUAACGGCUCACCAAGGCGACGAUACAUAGCCGACCUGAGAGGGUGAUCGGCCACACUGGGACUGAGACACGGCCCAGACUCCUACGGGAGGCAGCAGUAGGGAAUCUUCGGCAAUAGACGGAAGUCUGACCGAGCAACGCCGCGUGAGUGAAGAAGGUUUUCGGAUUGUAAAGCUCUGUUGUAAGAGAAGAACGAGUGUGAGAGUGGAAAGUUCACACUGUGACGGUAUCUUACCAGAAAGGGACGGCUAACUACGUG